AUGGAGAUCAAACACAAAAAUAUAGUACGGUUACUCGGCUAUUGCAAUGAAAAGAAGAGGGAAGCCGUGAAGCAUGACGGGAGGUAUAUUGUGACAUGCAAGGUAGAAACUUUGCUAUUGUACGAGUAUGUGCCAAAUAGAAGCCUUGACCAAUAUAUUUAUGGUGAUUCUUGUCAACUUGAGUGGAAUAUGCGCUUCAAGAUAAUUUUGGCCAUUUGUGAGGCGCUGCAUUUCUUACAUACUGAGUUAAACAAGCCUAUCAGUCAUCUGCCUCUUACUCCUGAAAAUAUAUUAUUAGACAAAAAUUUGGUACCAAAACUUUCAGAUAUUGGUCUAUCAGAUUUGUUCGAAGGACUAUCCCCAGAGGGCACAGAAUACGAUCCGGAAAUAAAUCGGUACAAGGCUCCAGAAUACAUAAAUAGAUACACUAUUUCAUUCCAAUCAAACAUAUACAGCUUAGGUCUCUUAAUAAUGGAUAUCGCAACAGGAGAGAAAAACAGGUCUCAUGCUCGACAAACCAUGGAUAAUAGCCAUUUUGCGAAUGCACGUCAAAAGUGGACGGAUGAAUACAUAGCAUCAAAGUAUACAUCACUUGGUGUCACUUGCAUUGGUCAACUCAAAGUAUGCCUCCAGAUUGCGUUAUGGUGUGUCGAGGACAAAAGAAAGGACAGGCCAUCUAUACGGGAAAUUGCCAAUACACUGAAUAAUCCAUAUAUAGGCAGAGUGUUAAACAAGCCAGGAGUCGGUCCCAUCUUAUCGUUGAGUGUGCAACCCCAGCGUCUCUGCUUCCCUCUCACUCCCACAAGGUUGAUUUCCCGCCUAUUGUGCCUAACAAACAACAAAGAUGAGUGCAUCGCCUUCAGGCUUCUCACGGAUAACCCAGGGAGGUACCAUAUAGAGCUGCUGCUUUACGGUAUUGUACUGCCGAAGUGCACCUACACUAUCAACGUGGUAGUGCAUGAGCAGACAAAGCAGCUACCGUCAAAUAGCGACGAAUUUUUGACCCCGAUGUGCACCACAACGCACGAGAAGGAACUCAAGAAUCUCGACGCAGACUCCGCUGCCGUCCUUUUUGAGAACCCCGAUCAUGAGGUCCAAGAGAUGAUGCUGCCUGUUUUUUGUGACCCACCGGAAGAGACCAUCUCUGAUCAGAUCAUAGCCAGUCAGCAUUUUCGAGUGGUUCCAUCCGUUGAUGUUCAUCCAAUCAGCCAGAAUUACCGACAGGUGUUGUCCAUAGAUGUGCAUCCAAAGGAGCCUUGGCUAUUGACGACCAACCAAAUGGGCACUAUUUGCAUUUGGAACUACGAGAAGAAGGAAACGUUGAACUCCUUUGAAGUUACUCGAGGAGAACCAUUAUAUUCCGCAAAAUUUAUUGAACCAAAGCACUGGUUCGUGACUGGGGAUGGCGAUGGAUACAUUCAUGUGUACAGUUAUGAUACAAUGAAAGAAGCCAUGAACUUCAAAGCUCAUGAGAAUAAUAUCAUGUCUUUGGCUCUGCAUUCGAGUUUUUCUUUCGUGCUAUCAGCAUCUGAUGAUCACCUGAUCAAGCUUUGGGACUGGGACAAGCACUGGGAAUGUAUGCGAACAUUUAGUGGGCACUAUGACAGAGUCACACAAGUGAUGUUUGACCCAUGGUCCAGUUAUGUUUUUGUGAGUGCUUCCAUGGAUGGCAGUGUCAAGCGCUGGUACCUUUCUUGUGGUAAUUGCGACAACACGUUUGAAGACAAAUCGGGUGGCCUGCUAUGUCUUCACUACAUCAGAGAUAGGCAAGCUUACGAUGAUCGGAGUUUACUGGUUGUUGGCUCUUCGGAUGGUGUUGCAAAGGUUUGGGAUGAGCUUCUGGAUACAUGUGUUGGUAUGCUCGAAGGACAUACAAAUCGUCUCACUACUCUUUGUUGGCACCCCAAACAUGAAGUACUAGUAACAGGUUCCCUUGAUGGGACCGUACAAAUCUGGAAGCAAACUAGCACUAGAUACAGGUCUCAGACGGUUCUAUGUGCCAAGUUCUGGCUCUUUGUAAAGGAAGCUUCUAACGAAUUUAUUAGUUCUUGCCUCGGAUCAGAAAGUUCCAAACACCAAUCCAAGUCCCUCGUACAGAGGGUUGUGCUUGGAUGCGAGCAAGGAAUAGCAAUGGUGGAAAUCAAUUACCCGUGA
rnacentral:rRNA from 1 species